GCCGAGGUAGCCAAGUCGGUCACGGCGAAUGUCUGAAAAACAUUAGAUUCCGGUUCGAUUCCGGACCUCGGCAC
rnacentral:tRNA from 1 species